rnacentral:rRNA from 1 species
AGCUCCAAGAGUGUAUAUUAAAGUUGUUGCGGUUAAAAAGCUCGUAGUUGGACCUUGGGAUUGAGUACAUCGGUUCCCCUUGACUUCGUGUCUUGGGGGUUACAAUCGAGUAAUUCUUUCUCUAUUCUCGGAACGUUCACGGCCAGCAAUGGUCGGUUUCGUAGGAUUUACUUUGAAUAAAUUAGGGUGUUUAAAGCAGGCUGAAAAGCCUUGAAUACAUUAGCAUGGGAUAAUAAAAGAUGACCUUUGGUCUGUACUUUAUUGGUUUCUGGGGCCUUGGUAAUGAUUGAUAGGGACAGUUGAGGUCGCUCGUAUUCAGUGGUCAGAGGUGAAAUUCUAAGACCCACUGAGGACGAACUAAUGCGAAGGCAUUCGACAAGGAUGUUUUCA